UUUUUUGAAAAAUCACGAGUCAACGUAUCCGACAUGUAUCACACACGUCCGUGUCGGUGCAUCAUAGAGUCCAACUUAAUAUAUGAUUCUGAAUAUCAAAUGACCUGAUUCUUUUGAUUAAAAAAAUUAUUCUUUAGGCAUCUUUUAAUUGCUUUCGGAGGACUUGCAGGAUUGGAAGAGUGUAUCGAAGAAGACAAUGAUUUGAAGGUACUGUAUAUAGGAAACCUCUUAUUAUCACGGCUCUGAAUUCUGUUAUCUAUGACCUUGUUCUCUGUUUUUUACACACAUGAUUAUCAUUUAUCACACACCUUGCCGCGAAAUCUCUGCAUAUAAUGAAUGAAUUUGGCCGGCACAUCAUUUUAAAAACGCCAGAUUUCACCAGGAUCCGACCUUUAUAAAUCUUUCAAGUUCUAUGGACUAAAAGUAGAUUCUGGUAGAAUUAGUUUUAUUUAUUUAUUUAUUUAUUUUUUCAUAUGCCUCUGAUUUACAGGGGAAAAAUGUGCGAGAGGCGUUCGACUUAUAUUUGAACACAUGCCCUCACCAAGGAAGCAGAACAAUUCGGACCGAGGUACUUUGUGCAGUUUUCUCAUUUAAUUCAUCAAAUAGGUUACAUUUUUAAAUAUAUAUCACAAUAUUAAUGCACUUCAGCAAACAGGAAGCAAUCUUCAUCUCUCUUCAGUAUUUUCAAGAGCCAAUCAACCGUGUUUCAAGCAAAUACGAACAUUAACUUUGUUGCUUACCGGUUGAAGAAUAGGACUUAUUAACUCAGAGGUAUUGGAAAAGACGUCAAGAAGGCGAGAUCUGAAACAAUUACCUUGGGUAUCGACGUGUUCCCAAUUUGAUGUCUUUUAGCGGUCUCAUAUACAAUCGACAGUAACGAGGUAGAAAACCAGAGAAAAUCUUGUUAUCAUGCUGUCAAGUCAUGUUCAGUAUUGCGUACCAAAUAUAAAUUCUAUUAUUAUAUGCUUAAAAUUCUGCAUGAUAUUUUGAGUUUGCUGUGGUAGGGAACCUAAACUUUGAAAGUUGCUAAUUUUUGGGAGCGCUUUAAUGCUUGCAAGACAUUCAAAA
rnacentral:lncRNA from 1 species